rnacentral:lncRNA from 1 species
AUCAAAUCAAAUAUAAAAGAACAUAAGGGUGAAACAAAGAAUAUGAGGGUGAACUAGAAAAUGAAAGAUUUAUGGGCCUAAUGCCCAUUACAAAAAUCUACACCUUACUAUAUAAAAAAAAAAUAUCAAACCAAAUAUGAAAAUAAAAAGAAAAAUAAAAAAUAAAAAUAAUAAAAAAAAGCUGGUAGCACCCCUAUCUUAUAUUGCUCUGACCAAUUUUUUUUUUGAAAAACUUUAAUAAAACACAAAUCAUAUUGGCACACGUGGCAUUGCAAAAUAAUAAUGAAAAAAACUAAACAUGGUACUGACAUAUACAACAAAAAUGAAAUAAAACAAAGAGAAAAUAAAAGCACAAAAUAUAACAUCA